UACAUAAUCAACUCAUCAACCCAGCACUCAAAAAAGGAAGCACUCGAUCUUAUCAUCUCUAGGGUUUGACUUGGUUGAUAGCAGAAAGUGGGGGAGAAGUGGAGAACACCAACUGGUUUCUUUUUUUUUUUUCUCGGUACAACACCAACUCGAUUCUUUGGCCCAGUUACUCAAUCACGUCAACAGGCUAAAUAUCUUCUCUUAUUAUGGACAUUGCAUCUGAGAAAGUAAUUUCUCAAGAGCUUGCUCGGGAGUCGCUUAUGGCAAUCUCCCAGAGUAUUCCAGAUAUGAACCUUGCUUCAAAUCUGUUGCCCGAGAAAUCGGCUGUCACUGAUGUCCCUGCCAUAAAAGAUUGUGGUGGAGCAAAAGACUACCGAUCAAAGCUGAUCUCAAUUUCCGACAUACAAGCUCCAGAUGUUUACCCUUUACCACCUUUGGUGGAAAACCGUAGUGUUUAGCCAGUAAAGUGUAGUUGCUUGUGAAGAGCUUCAUUGUGAUGUGUUCUUCUUGUAUCUGGAAUAAACCUAAUUGUUUGUUCAAACUCUUCUGAUGAGUAGAACAUUUUACUGAUAACUGCAUGAAUAUGUACAGUUACUAUGUCAUGUGAUGCUGAGACCUGAUCUGGAACAAUUGAAAUGAAAAAGGAAAAACAAGACUUCGGUAAACUAUUUUGAGCUGAUUUUCUUU